GCAGUCGAGCGAGGAGCUUUUAGCUCCUAGCGGCGAACGGGUGAGUAACACGUGGGCAACCUGCCCGUAAGACUGGGAUAACUUCGGGAAACCGGAGCUAAUACCGGAUAAUCUUGAUCUUCGCAUGAAGGACAAGUAAAAGAUUUAUCACUUACGGAUGGGCCCGCGGUGCAUUAGCUUGUUGGUGGGGUAAUGGCCCACCAAGGCGACGAUGCAUAGCCGACCUGAGAGGGUGACCGGCCACACUGGGACUGAGACACGGCCCAAACUACUACGGGAGGCAGCAGUAGGGAAUUUUCCGCAAUGGGCGAAAGCCUGACGGAGCAACGCCGCGUGAAUGAUGACGGCCUUCGGGUUGUAAAAUUCUGUUCUAAGGGAAGAAGUUCUGACGGUACCUUAGGAGAAAGCCACGGCUAACUACGUGCCAGCAGCCGCGGUAAUACGUAGGUGGCAAGCGUUGUCCGGAAUUAUUGGGCGUAAAGCGCGCGCAGGCGGUUCUUUAAGUUGGGUGUUAAAGGCAGCGGCUCAACCGCUGUUCGCACCCAAAACUGGGGAACUUGAGUGCAGGAGAGGAUAGUGGAAUUCCCGGUGUAGCGGUGGAAUGCGUAGAGAUCGGGAGGAACACCAGUGGCGAAGGCGACUGUCUGGCC
rnacentral:rRNA from 1 species